UAUUAAUCAAGAGAGACAUGACUUUUAUUCUCUAUCUAGGAAUACGGCAUACUUGUAAAAUCAUGGACUGAAAAGGGACCUGAAGUCUACCCUUAUAACUGUUCGACCUUUGCCUUGGAAAGUGAUUCUGAACCACGCAAAGGGAAAGAAGAGAUACAUUUGCUACUACUGAAAUGGUUCCUGGUCCCAACUUCCAUCCUCCCAGAGUGACUACUCCGUCAAGCUGCUUCCGUAUCUUGCUGGAGUCACUUGCUGGAGUCACUUGCUGGAAUCUGAUGUGUUGCCUUUCUCUGCUUAUUUCUUCUUUAUAAAGCUACUUUGAUUACUGUAUCAAAGAGCACAUCCAAUAAAAUGUGCUUCAGUCUUAAAACUCACCAAUGGCAUCCUGCCUGUUCCUCAUCCAUACACAAUUUUUCUGGAGUUUCUUUUGAUUACUUUUUCUCUUUCCAUCCUUUGCCUUUCUUUCAUUCUCACCAUUCUCAAUUCCUCACUGUUAGUUACUUUAUCCCUUCCAAUCUUUAAAUUAAGCUACUUGGUUUGGAUACCUCUCUCAAGUCUCUAAGAUGUGAAGAAAUCAUGGUGACCUCAUGCUUACCACACACAUCCACCUUGGAAAUUUCAUCAUGCAUCACAAUGGGCUGUUUAUGCUCCCUUUAUAUUUUCAUUCAUAUGACGCUGUGCAUCAUUUUAACACAGCAUUACAAUGACUACCUGAUACUUAGAGACUGGUGUGAUGUCUAAUCGUUUUUCCCUCCUUACUCUCUGUGUUGAUUCCUGGUACCGAUGUUAUUGUUAUCAUCAUGAACAGUAACAACCAGCAACUGUUUAAACUUCCACUAUUUAAUAUUUACUAUUUGACAUUGCCAUAAAAAUGCAGAAAUGUUA